rnacentral:tRNA from 16 species
UGGUCGAAUGGUAACGCAGCCGACUGCAGUUUUGGGGUCAGCGCUUCGAAUCCUAGU